UGGGGGUUAAAGGCAUGAGACACCAGGCCUUGCUUAAGGAAAAGAUUCUUAAGUGGGUGUCAUGAUGGAAGGUAGAAUGCACCGUUGUCCGAAGUAAGGAAUAGUGGAGACCAUUCAGUUGAAUCACAUUUGGAUUUCACAGAAGUUCAGCCUGGACACUGGUGAGCUGUCCUCAUUCAGUAGGGUUCCCCUCCACAGAUGGUUGUGAUUUUUCUAUAAAAGUACCAUACCCUCUUCAGAAACAGAACUCUGCCACAGAAACACAGGCAUAAAAUCCAGAGUCAAGCCUGCCGCUUCAAACAAGUCACCUUCUAAUGUAAACUUGCCCUACAUAAUGUAUGAAACAUCUCACCCGGGGUGACGAGGCACAGUCUUUGUCCUGGGUUUGGUUCUGAUGUCAGUGUGGCUGCUCUAGCUGCCUUCACCAUGGUUUGCAUGCUCCCGCCCCUGAGGUUGGGUGUCGUAGCGCAUAGCAAUAAUAUAAAAUACUGGGUUUCAUUGUGUAAGGUUUUCUUUGCUGUUGCUUGCUUGUUUAGACCAGGGUUCCUUUAGCGGAGAAUGACCUUGAACUUGUGGUCCUGCCACCUAUAACCUCGUGUUGGGAUCACAAGCAUGCGCCAUCACACCCAGUUUAAGAGAUGCUGCGAGUCAAGGUAAGCACUUGGUACAUGCUAGGCAAGCACUCGCCCAUUAGGCUGCAUCCCCAGGCCCUUGCGAUAUCUUCAUGCAUGUAUAUAACAUAGCUUGAUAAUACCCGCUUAAGGUUUUUUAACUUACUAUUUUUGUGUGUAUCUGAAUGUGCCUGCAUGAGGUUAGGUGCACCAUGUUGCAAGCAGGAGCCUUAGGAGGCCGUGAGCCCCUCUGAGCUAGAAAUGCAGACAGUUUUUGAGGCCCCAUGUUUGUGCUGGAAAUUGAACCCGGAUCCUCUGGAAGAGCAGCAAUGCUCUGAACCUCUGAGCCACCUCUCCAGUUAGGAUGGGUGUUUUUACAAAGCUUCCUGGUUGAUUCUGAAGUGAAGUUGGGGUUAGGAAACACAGAACACACCCUGGAGCUGGGAAACAUCAGACCCUUUCCUGUCACCAAGUGUUUGAUGGCAUUCCUUAGACUUGAAAAACCUGGGGCCCCUUUAAAGAAUAAAGCUUCUUUGGUGUCUCCCAUUGUUGGC
rnacentral:lncRNA from 1 species